AGAGUUUGAUCCUGGCUCAGAGCGAACGCUGGCGGAAUGCUUAACACAUGCAAGUCGCACGGGGGCUUCGGCCUUAGUGGCGGACGGGUGAGUAACGCGUAGGAACGUGUCCUGGGAUGGGGGAUAACGCUGGGAAACUGGCGCUAAUACCGCAUGUCUGCUGAGGCAGAAAGCCUUCGGGUGUCUUGGGAGCGGCCUGCGUCCGAUUAGCUAGUUGGUGGGGUAAAGGCUUACCAAGGCGACGAUCGGUAGCUGGUCUGAGAGGACGAUCAGCCACACUGGGACUGAGACACGGCCCAGACUCCUACGGGAGGCAGCAGUGGGGAAUAUUGGACAAUGGGCGGAAGCCUGAUCCAGCAAUUCCGCGUGGGUGAAGAAGGUCUUCGGAUUGUAAAGCCCUUUCGGCGGGGACGAUGAUGACGGUACCCGCAGAAGAAGCCCCGGCUAACUUCGUGCCAGCAGCCGCGGUAAUACGAAGGGGGCUAGCGUUGCUCGGAAUUACUGGGCGUAAAGGGCGCGUAGGCGGCGGUGUUAGUCAGGCGUGAAAUUCCUGGGCUUAACCUGGGGACUGCGCUUGAUACGGCAUUGCUUGAGGGUGGAAGAGGCUCGCGGAAUUCCCAGUGUAGAGGUGAAAUUCGUAGAUAUUGGGAAGAACACCGGUGGCGAAGGCGGCGAGCUGGUCCAUUACUGACGCUGAGGCGCGACAGCGUGGGGAGCAAACAGGAUUAGAUACCCUAGUAGUCC
rnacentral:rRNA from 1 species